rnacentral:rRNA from 1 species
GCGAGAAACCUUUGCAAUGUGCGCAAGCACGACAAGGUUAAUCCGAGUGUUUCCUGCUAAAGGAAUCUUUUGUUAGUUCUAAAACCACUGAUGAAUAAGAGGUGGGCAAGUUCUGGUGUCAGCCGCCGCGGUAAAACCAGCACCUCAAGUGGUCAGGAGGAUUAUUGGGCCUAAAGCAUCCGUAGCCGGUUCUGUAAGUUUUCGGUUAAAUCCACUAGCUUAACUAAUGGGCUGCCGAAAAUACUGCAGAACUAGGGAGUGGGAGAGGUAGACGGUACUCGGUAGGAAGGGGUAAAAUCCUUUGAUCUAUUGAUGACCACCUGUGGCGAAGGCGGUCUACCAGAACACGUUCGACGGUGAGGGAUGAAAGCUGGGGGAGCAAACCGGAUUAGAUACCCCCGUAGUCCCUGAGCGGGCUGGCAAGGCGCAU